GACGAACGCUGGCGGCGUGCUUAACACAUGCAAGUCGAACGGAAAGGCCCUGCUUUUGUGGGGUGCUCGAGUGGCGAACGGGUGAGUAACACGUGAGUAACCUGCCCUUGACUUUGGGAUAACUUCAGGAAACUGGGGCUAAUACCGGAUAGGAGCUCCUGCUGCAUGGUGGGGGUUGGAAAGUUCCGGCGGGUGGGGAUGGACUCGCGGCUUAUCAGCUUGUUGGUGGGGUAGUGGCUUACCAAGGCUUUGACGGGUAGCCGGCCUGAGAGGGUGACCGGCCACAUUGGGCCUGAGAUACGGCCCAGACUCCUACGGGAGGCAGCAGUGGGGAAUAUUGCACAAUGGGCGGAAGCCUGAUGCAGAGACGCCGCGUGCGGGAUGACGGCCUUCGGGUUGUAAACCGCUUUCGCCUGUGACGAAGCGUGAGUGACGGUAAUGAGUAAAGAAGCACCGGCUAACUACGUG
rnacentral:rRNA from 1 species